rnacentral:rRNA from 1 species
GAUGAACGCUGGCGGCGUGCCUAAUACAUGCAAGUCGAGCGAACGGACGAGAAGCUUGCUUCUCUGAUGUUAGCGGCGGACGGGUGAGUAACACGUGGAUAACCUACCUAUAAGACUGGGAUAACUUCGGGAAACCGGAGCUAAUACCGGAUAAUAUUUUGAACCUCAUGGUUCAAAAGUGAAAGACGGUCUUGCUGUCACUUAUAGAUGGAUCCGCGCUGCAUUAGCUAGUUGGUAAGGUAACGGCUUACCAAGGCAACGAUGCAUAGCCGACCUGAGAGGGUGAUCGGCCACACUGGAACUGAGACACGGUCCCGACUCCUACGGGAGGCAGCAGUAGGGAAUCUUCCGCAAUGGGCGAAAGCCUGACGGAGCAACGCCGCGUGAGUGAUGAAGGUCUUCGGAUCGUAAAACUCUGUUAUUAGGGAAGAACAUAUGUGUAAGUAACUGUGCACAUCUUGACGGUACCUAAUCAGAAAGCCACGGCUAACUACGUG